AGAGUUUGAUCCUGGUUCAGAACGAACGCUGGCGGCGUGCUUAACACAUGCAAGUCGAACGCGAAAGGGACUUCGGCCCCGAGUAGAGUGGCGCACGGGUGGGUAACGCGUAAGUAAUCUACCCCUGUAUCUGGAAUAACCCACCGAAAGGUGAGCUAAUACCGGAUACGUUUAUCUUGAUGCGAAUGAUGAUAAAGAAAGGUGGCCUCUUCAUGAAAGCUACCGUACAGGGACGAGCUUGCGUACCAUUAGCUGGUUGGUAGGGUAAUGGCCUACCAAGGCGACGAUGGUUAGCGGGUCUGAAAGGAUGAUCCGCCACACUGGAACUGAAACACGGACCAGACUCCUACGGGAGGCAGCAGUGAGGAAUAUUGCGCAAUGGGGGCAACCCUGACGCAGCGACGCCGCGUGGACGAUGAAGGCCCUUGGGUCGUAAAAUCCUGUCAGAUGGAAAGAAAUGUACAGGUGUUAAUAUCGCCUGUAUUUGACGGUACCAUCAAAGGAAGCACCGGCUAACUCCGUGCCAGCAGCCGCGGUAAUACGGAGGGUGCGAGCGUUGUUCGGAAUUA
rnacentral:rRNA from 1 species